rnacentral:rRNA from 1 species
CCUACGGGUGGCUGCAGUGGGGAAUAUUGGACAAUGGGGGCAACCCUGAUCCAGCCAUGCCGCGUGUGUGAAGAAGGCCCUCGGGUUGUAAAACACUUUCAGUGAGGAAGAACGCCUGGUGGUUAAUACCCAUCAGGAAAGACAUCACUCACAGAAGAAGCACCGGCUAACUCCGUGCCAGCAGCCGCGGUAAUACGGAGGGUGCGAGCGUUAAUCGGAAUUACUGGGCGUAAAGCGCGCGUAGGUGGCUUGAUAAGCCGGUUGUGAAAGCCCCGGGCUCAACCUGGGAACGGCAUCCGGAACUGUCAAGCUAGAGUGCAGGAGAGGAAGGUAGAAUUCCCGGUGUAGCGGUGAAAUGCGUAGAGAUCGGGAGGAAUACCAGUGGCGAAGGCGGCCUUCUGGACUGACACUGACACUGAGGUGCGAAAGCGUGGGUAGCAAACAGGAUUAGAUACCCGUGUAGUC